rnacentral:rRNA from 1 species
CACGAAGCCGGAGUUGCUAGUAAUCGCGAAUCAGAAUGUCGCGGUGAAUGCGUUCCCGGGUCUUGUACACACCGCCCGUCACACCAUGGGAGUUGGAAAUGCCCGAAGCCAGUGACCCAACCGUAAGGAGGGAGCUGUCGAAGGUGGAGCCGAUGACUGGGGUGAAGUCGUAACAAGGUAUC